ensembl:lncRNA
UUGUUUGAUGAUUGUAAGUGCAGUUCGACGCUGAAAUCUGCACAGCGGUCGGGCUCACACAUGUGUUUAUUAAAAUGCCGUCUAAGUACACCAGGCUGGAUCAGUGGUUAUUUUUAGAUUCCCUCUCUCAAUAUUUUUGAACCUUAACAUUUGGGGGCUCGUUCCGGUGAGAGAGAGGGAGUUUUGGUGUAGAUGGAGAGAUCCGGGGUCCGUGGUGAUUAGAUGGGCAGAUACGAGUCAGUGGUCUGAAGUGAGAGACAAGCCGGCUUAAACAAAGGUAAGGCACAUACCUGUUGAAUUUCCAAAAUGUGCUAGAAUUGGAUAUGACAAAAUUGAAGUCUACUCACUGAAAAUUACUGGUGAAUGUCUGUUUUGAGUUUGCUGAAAUUUUUAUGAGGUUUACCGGUUGAAGUAAUGAUAAUGAAGUAUAAGUGACAGUACUGAGUAAUGAGAAUGAAAGAAUGAAAAGAGAAUUAAAGCAGUUGGACUGCUAAGUGAAGCUUAGAAUGAUAGGUAAUUGGCAUGUCUGUGAAUAUGCAGUGUUGAUUGACUAUAAAGCUGGGCUUGGACAUCAAUAAGAUUACUUGUGAUCUUAGGUGGUGUUUUCAGAACUUUGAUUAAAUUAUCUUAGGACGGGAGCAGGGCUCCUAGGACUGCACCAAGUUCAGGGGUGGGAACCCCCUCCCUUUUCCAGAUGUGGGAAAGGGUCCUCCGGCGUGAGGGUAUCCCAGGUGGCCACUGCCAAUGACUUGGGACCAUUGGUUUAAAAUAGCCCCUGGUAGUUGACCAGGUUGUCGUCGGGGACGGCAUUGUGCAGUUUUUGGUCAGUAGAAACCCGGUUUCGGGCGUGUAACUUUAACUUAAAACUUCGGGGAAGCCGGGGAUGUGAAAUGCCCAAAAAUAGAGCUUCAGGCAGAGUCUGGGUUGGUUCACGCUUUUAAAUUCUGUUAGGGCACUAGCAAUCGGGCCACCGUCGGGGACGGGACAAUGGCUAAAUUGGUCGCAAAAAACUCAGGGAGUUUUCCGCAGGGCGGUUAUUAUUAAAUUUGUCGAAAUUCGGUAGGUGUUUUAAAGGCCUAAAAAUCUGUGCAGUGUAAAUAUAAAGACGUCUUGUGUAAAUAUAAUAAUAUGAGAUCUAUGUGGGAGAUCCGUCUCUGCACCACCAGUGCACUACCGGAUGUGCACUGAUGGUGUGUUCAUGUAAAUGAGCAGCGGUGACGCGCAGAGAGGGUGGUUUCAGUUUCGAGUGUACUGAGCUUUAUAACUAUUGUUUGAAAAUAUUGCUAAAUGCCUGUAUUUAAGGGGCUGGUUUUGCUUAUUACGAGAGUAUAAAGAGAGUGUGAAUUCAUUAGUGUGGAUGUAUGGUAAUGACUGAAUUUUGAUAGAUGUAUAUAUCUUGAGCCAUAAAUGCUGGUGUGUUUUGUCUUCAGUUAUGUGUGUGUGUGGUGAGAAGCUGCGAGGAUGAUGAGAGGUUUCAGUUUUCUUUUUCUUUUUUCUUUUUGACUUGCUCUUUCUGAUUAUGGAAGGCAUGUCCAAACUACGCACAUGAAAGCGUAUUUUGUGUGAUUUUAACUGUGUGAAUGCUGUCAGUAUUUGAUUUGAGUGACUCUGCGUGAGUUGUCUGAGUGAGAGAAAAGGCAGUGUGUGUGAGACGAUGGAUGGCGUCUGAAAGAGGUUAGAACCUUUAAAAGUGUGUAUGAAAGAAAGGAGUGUGAAAUAUAUUUCUUUUGUGAUGUAAAGUAGGAUGUUCUAAAGUUUGAAAGUGCUUUUAAUUCAAGAAAUGCAUGAGUGAUGGUAUGAGAGGUUGAGUUUCUUUUUCUCUCAGUUCAAAAACACAUAAGUAUAUACACUGGUUAAUUGUUGGGAUGUUUGAAAGAGCUCUAUUUAAAUGUGUGUGAGUGAAAUGAAGGUGUAUUGUUUUUAGAUUAAGAUUUAGUAGAAUUACUGAUUGUUUUUAGACUAUAAAUACAAAGAAAGAGGAAGUCUGAGAGAAGUGUGUGCGUAGCCAAACUGGAGAGUGUGUGCUUGAAACAGGAAGUCUGAUUAUAGCUUGUGAGUUAGAGAGACAUUGCAACAUGAAAACAGAGCAAUUAGAGACUGAAUGUCUUAAGAAAAGUAAUAAAAUAUAUUAAUUACAUGUUUUAGAAAAGAGAAAAAUCGAGAAAAUAAAUACAUGAACUAACAAUUACAUUAAUGAAUUGAAAACGCACGUACACGAAUUGUUAUAUGUGAAAUUAUUGUUGGAAAGUUUAAUACACACAUGAAAUAAAGAAAGCAGUUUACACUCCUUUAAUUUCCAGAACCAGUGUGUCCCCUAGACCUGAUAACACCCUUGCCCAGUUGGCCCCCGUAUAAGGCAGCAUGGAAGGCUGGACAGCCCAUGACGGGUAAGAUCCCACCUCGAAACCCUGGGACAACCUAAGGCAAGGCGCAGUCACGAUUGCUUGAACCUGGGUCCCUAAGUGAGCUUGGAGUCACUGGAGGAGACGGGACUUGACGGGUAAAGCCGCUGGGCACAGGCGAGGGGAAAUGUCAUUAACAGUGACCAGUGAUGAGCCAGAGAGAGAAAACACACCCUGUCAAAAGGAGUCUGAAACACUGCAAAAGAAACAUUUACAAGAUCACAAAGAUCACAAAGAAACAUUUAUAAAAAUCACACAUACAAACAGAAAAUGCACUAACCUUACAGAGAUAAGCUCAUGAAGAUUAAUGCAUAGAUAGUGAUUAAAACCUGGCUAAGAACACAAACAUAUGUAAUUAAAUCAGCUUGCUAAUUUCAUGAGUGUUAAAAUGGUGUGAAUGUUGAAGAAAAUACACUUAAAACACACUUGGAUAAAAUAGAGUUGUGGAAUAACUCAAAAGAAGCUGCAUGACAAGGGAGUGAGUUAUGGAAAAAAAACAAAAAAACAAACAAAAGAGAAGUGAUUAAAGUAGUUUAAAAAGGUGACUUAGGAGUGCUCUUGCACUGAUUGAUAAAAGUAAGUGAUUAGGAUAGAAAGAAAAUGAAAAUAAUUCAAUAAUGUGAUAAGGUUUAAACAUGUAUUUCUCUUGUCAAGUUGACUUGCUGAGAGGAGCCACUAUGCAAAUUAGCUGGAGCAAAGACACUUCCUGUGUGCGUGUGUGUCGGAGGCUUUCAGUUCAAGAGAGAGCGGUGGCUGUUGAAGAUUAUUUGGCGAAAUAUAUAAGGGCCUGGAAGAGAGUGAACUGACGGCGCUGACAAAAUUAUCAAGUACGAAAAUCAGGUGGGCUUUACCGAUUAUAAAUUGGCUGAAAAGGAGACCUAAUUGGCGGUGAGUCUCUGUUUAAUUUUAGGAUUGCAGCGAGUCAAUCCAGUCAAAGGUAUAGAGAACUAUUUUCCUAAAAAGGAAAACGAAAUAAAACAAAUGAUUGAGCUCAUUUUGCUGAUGUGGAGCAUCUGAUGACGUGUGCAGAAGGCUGCAGUAUCAGCAAAAAGAUCGUGUGUGAAUGCAUGUGAGUGAAUGCGAGUGAUGGGACCAAGGGGGGAAAUAAAUGAAAGGACAAGUGGGAGACUUAAAUCUGGGGAUGCUGAUUUUGGGAUGUUGAUGUUUACUUUGAGGUAAUUAUUUACUGGGGUUGGAUUAUGUUAUUACAUUAUAUUGUUGGGAGAAUGCUGAAUGCUAAAAGGGAAACAGGGUUUGAUGAAAUUCAAGUUACCAUUAACUGGGGUAACUCAUGAUUAAUAACUGUUCUGUUUAAGUUUAUUUUUUGUUAUGACAUAGACGGGAUCAAAAAGGGAAAGUUGAGUAUGAAAUGUAAACUACAGGUUUUGUUUCCAGGAAAUUCCAAGGAUCCAGAGUUCGAUGGAGCAACGAGUUUGAGAAGAUUUGACAUGAUGAUUAAAUUGAUUUUAUUCCUUAAAUACAGGUUUUCAGGGCGGGAGCAAAAUACCGGAGAAGAUGGCUGAAGUGUUCUGAGAAAUGUUAUGACUAACCUUUUUUCCCUUUUAAUUUCCUAAGCUUGGGUGAAGCAUUUUGAGUUUUUUGCCACAUGAGAUGUGUCAAAAAAGAGAGGGGUUUAAGAUUUAAUUUGUUUAAUUUGAAAUGGGUUUUAGUAUGAUUUUAUAACUAUUGGGGUUGUUUGAUAAUCUAGAUAUAGUAAAACUGAGGCAGUGAAUGUUAUUUUUUUUAAAG